CGUGAUGGCACUGUGAAGUAUGCUUCCUUCUGGAAGCAGAUUUUCCAGCCAGACUUGCCAAAGACAACCUUCAGACACUUGUCUGUAGUUAAGGGGCUGUAGAAUACGCAUAUAAGAAGUCGGCUUCCACUGGGAUUUUCUGACAGGCAAUGUCAUCCUCGGUACCACUGUCAGUCUCAAUGCCACAGUCCAGUUCUGUGCCUCGACAGGCCUAGAGGUCAAGAGGUCCAUUUGUUCCAUAAAUGAUUCCUUCAUCACCGUGGCUUAGAAGCACGCAAACAAAACUGCUCCUCUUGCUAUGAUCUU